GGGCCGCAUUGACUAACCCCGGAGGCGUAACGAAAGCGAGAGAGCGUGUUGGAGGGCUCCGGGCCGGGAGAGGUGUCGUGGCGAAGCUUCGGCCUAGCUGCGCCCGAUCCCGCCGGGGCGGCGUCCCCGCCAUUCCAAUCCCCGUCGUUAACGUCGCCGCUUCGGCGGUGGCGACCCGACUCUCGCAAGGGAGGAAGGUUUCGGCGGCGGCGGAGGGGGCGUCAUUCUCCUCCUUCCGCCCGUCGGUGAGAUCCCGCGCGCGACAGACCGUGCGCGGGCGCACCACCCCCGGGUCGGAUUUUCCGACUACGAGUCGGCCGACUCUGGUGUAGCGAGCGGCCAGGGACCCGAAAGAUGGCGAUCCACGCCCGGUCGGGAUGAAGCCAGAGGAAACUCUGGUGGAAGUCCGAAGCGCCUCUGACGUGCAAAUCGAUCGUCGGAACCGGGUGUAGGGGCGAAAGA
rnacentral:rRNA from 1 species